rnacentral:rRNA from 1 species
UACAGAGGGUGCAAGCGUUAAUCGGAAUUACUGGGCGUAAAGCGUGCGCAGACGGUUGCGUAAGUCAGAUGUGAAAGCCCCGGGCUCAACCUGGGAAUUGCAUUUGAGACUGCGUAGCUAGGGUGCGGAAGAGGGAAGCGGAAUUUCCGGUGUAGCGGUGAAAUGCGUAGAUAUCGGAAGGAACACCAGUGGCGAAGGCGGCGACCUGGACAGGUACUGACACUCAACUACGAAAGCGUGGGGAGCAAACAGG